CACGUAGGGGGCGAGCGUUGUCCGGGAUUCAUUGGGCGUAAGCGCGCGUAGGCGGCCCGGUAAGUCCGCUGUAAAAGUCAAAGGCUCAACCUUUGAAUGCCGGUGGAUACUGUCGGGCUAGAGUCCGGGAAGAGGCGAGUGGAAUCCUGGUGUAGCGGUGGAAUGCGCAGAUAUCAGGAGACACCAAUGCGAAAGCAGCUCUCUGGGACGGUACUGACGCUGAGACGGCGAAA
rnacentral:rRNA from 1 species